GAUGAACGCUGGCGGCGUGCCUAAUACAUGCAAGUCGAGCGAAUGGAUUAAGAGCUUGCUCUUAUGAAGUUAGCGGCGGACGGGUGAGUAACACGUGGGUAACCUGCCCAUAAGACUGGGAUAACUCCGGGAAACCGGGGCUAAUACCGGAUAACAUUUUGAACCGCAUGGUUCGAAAUUGAAAGGCGGCUUCGGCUGUCACUUAUGGAUGGACCCGCGUCGCAUUAGCUAGUUGGUGAGGUAACGGCUCACCAAGGCAACGAUGCGUAGCCGACCUGGGAGGGUGAUCGGCCACACUGGAACUGAGACCCGGCCCAGACUCCUACGGGAGGCAGCAGUAGGGAAUCUUCCGCAAUGGACGAAAGUCUGACGGAGCAACGCCGCGUGAGUGAUGAAGGCUUUCGGGUCGUAAAACUCUGUUGUUAGGGAAGAACAAGUGCUAGUUGAAUAAGCUGGCACCUUGACGGUACCUAACCAGAAAGCCACGGCUAACUACGUGCCAGCCGCCGCAGUAA
rnacentral:rRNA from 1 species